UGCAGGAGAUAGACAGAUUUCGAUGGUGGGGUUAGGAGAGGUCUUCAUGCUGAGUUUGAACUGGAUGGAUGGAGAGUAAAAGAGGAUAAAAAAGGUUUAAUGAUUAUGGCUGGACCCGAUGAAGGGAUGCCUACGUACCCCAAAUGGGGAUCAAGCCAAUCGUAGUUCUACCACGAUGGGAUCACAAGUGCCUAGAUGAAAGCAUGUGGAGAGGUGUUUCUCUCUACAGAAGUAGAGAGAGAUGGGAGAAAUG
rnacentral:lncRNA from 1 species